GGGCCAGGGCCAGGGCCAGGGCCAUAGGGACUGGUAAAAGUUUCUGGCUAAGCCCGGAUCAAGCCAUUCCAAGGGACAGCUGGAGUGUCUCUGCAGUCAGCGCCUGGAAAGGGGCCAGCUCAGCCUCAAGCCUGAGCCAAACACAUGCAGCCUCAAGGAUGGAUGGAGAAAUACGCUUGGGUCCAACCUGUUUGGGGUGGCAAAGCAGGGGAAUGUGAGCCUAGAGGCUGUCCUGCUGGGAGCCUGCCGGAAGGUGGAUGAGCACAAAGGGAAGCAGAGCUGGGAGAGGGACACGGAUUUGCACAGCUGAGAUCCAGCUGUGCCUGAAGUUGGUACUGUCCUGGGCUUUUCCAUCACAAGAGCUGAUAAAAGUCUUCUCUGCUCAAA